CUACGGGAUGCAGCAGUGAGGAAUAUUGCACAAUGGGGGAAACCCUGAUGCAGCAACGCCGCGUGGAGGAUGACGCAUUUCGGUGUGUAAACUCCUUUUAUCAGAGAAGAAAAUGACGGUAUCUGAUGAAUAAGCUCCGGCUAACUCCGUGCCAGCAGCCGCGGUAAUACGGAGGGAGCAAGCGUUAUUCGGAAUCACUGGGCGUAAAGGACGCGUAGGCGGGUUUUUAAGUCAGGUGUGAAAUCCUAUGGCUCAACCAUAGAACUGCACUUGAAACUGGGGACCUAGAGUAUGGAAGGGGCAGGUGGAAUUAGUGGUAUAGGGGUAAAAUCCGUAGAUAUCACUAGGAAUACCGAAAGCGAAGGCGACCUGCUGGGACAUUACUGACGCUGAGGCGUGAAAGCGUGGGGAGCAAACAGGAUUAGAUACCCUUGUACUC
rnacentral:rRNA from 1 species